rnacentral:misc_RNA from 1 species
CUUUUUCUCUCACAAACUCUCAAUCGUCUCCGACUCUUCGUUUCCAGAAAAUGCUGAGAACUCGGUUGCUUUGGUUCACAGUGGGAUUUUCUAUGUCAGCAGCUGCAAUAGGUCAAUUCGUUUGGAGAGAUCUUAUUGCUGAGAGAUACGCCCUUUCAUAUCAAACGCAGCAGGCUUUUGAUGCCCUUGAAGCUAGAGUCUUGAAUCUCGAGUCUAUCUCUUCCCUUAACUCAAAUCCGGAUCAGGUUGAAGGUUAGAUCUUAUAUCUAGCUGAAAUGAUUUGGUGACAGUUCCAAUGGAGUCCGUUGCUCAGGCCAUUUGAGUUUCUGUCAUUAUACUGGGGUAUAGUUGAAGUCAUAUUCUUGUCAUGGAGUUGCCUUCAAAAUACUAUAAGCCCAAAUUUUACGUGGUUGAAUAAAAAAAAAUAAAAAUCUCUUAUUUUAUUUUGUUAUCUUUUCAAUAUCCAGGAAAUUUUAAUUCCCAUAUGAAGCCCCAUAGUGUGAGUGUGACCGUAAUUGGUUGGACUUAAGCUUCAUUCUUCUGAAACCAAACUCUCCACAAUGGAUGUAGAAGAAACGAUUACAAAAUAAAAUAAGAGAUUUUUAUUUUU